rfam:Octopus bimaculoides Scaffold18188_contig_36, whole genome shotgun sequence.
GGUAGCGUGGCCGAGUGGUCUAAGGCGCUGGUUUUAGGCACCAGUCUUUGCGGAGGCGUGGGUUCGAAUCACAUCGCUGCCA